rnacentral:rRNA from 1 species
AAAUUGAAGAGUUUGAUCAUGGCUCAGAUUGAACGCUGGCGGCAGGCCUAACACAUGCAAGUCGAACGGUAACAGGAAGAAGCUUGCUUCUUUGCUGACGAGUGGCGGACGGGUGAGUAAUGUCUGGGAAACUGCCUGAUGGAGGGGGAUAACUACUGGAAACGGUAGCUAAUACCACAUAACGUCGCAAGACCAAAGAGGGGGACCUUCGGGCCUCUUGCCAUCGGAUGUGCCCAGAUGGGAUUAGCUAGUAGGUGGGGUAACGGCUCACCUAGGCGACGAUCCCUAGCUGGUCUGAGAGGAUGACCAGCCACACUGGAACUGAGACA